rnacentral:rRNA from 1 species
CCUACGUGCGACUGCAGUGAGGAAUAUUGGUCAAUGGACGAGAGUCUGAACCAGCCAUGUAGCGUGCAGGAAGACUGCCCUAUGAGUUGUAAACUUCUUUUGUAUAAGGAUAAAACUGUCAACGUGUAUGAUUUUGUAAUUACCAUAUGAAUAAGGAGCGGCUAACUCCGUGCCAGCAGCCGCGGUAAUACGGAGGAUCCAAGCUUUAUCCGGAUUUAUUGGGUUUAAAGGGUGCGUAGGUGGAUUGUUAAGUCAGUUGUGAAAGUUUGCGGCUUAACCCGAAAAGUGCAGUUGAUACUGGUGAUCUAGAGAGUAGUAGCGGUAGGCGGAAUUCGUGGUGUAGCGGUGAAAUGCUUAGAGAUCAUAAAGAACUCCGAUUGCGAAGGCAGUUUACUAGUCUCCAUCUGACACUGAGGCUCGAAAGUGUGGGGAGCAAACAGGAGUAGAUACCCUAGUAGUC